rnacentral:rRNA from 1 species
AUUGAACGCUGGCGGCAGGCCUAACACAUGCAAGUCGAACGAGUGGCGGACGGGUGAGUAAUGUCUGGGAAACUGCCUGAUGGAGGGGGAUAACUACUGGAAACGGUAGCUAAUACCGCAUACCAUCAGAUGUGCCCAGAUGGGAUUAGCUAGUUGGGGGGGUAACGGCUCACCAAGGCGACGAUCCCUAGCUGGGCUGAGAGGAUGACCAGCCAAACUGUAAAUGAGACACGUUCCCGAAUCCUACGGGAGGCAGCAGUGGGUACUAUUGCACAAUGGGCGCAAGCCUGAUGCAGCCAUGCCGCGUGUAUGAAGAAGGCCUUCGGGUUGUAAAGGACUUUCAGCGGGGAGGCGUUACCCGCAGAAGAAGCACCGGCUAACUCCGUGCCAGCCGCCGCGGUAAUUC